UUGCCUUGCCUUGCCUUGCCUUGCCUUGCCUUGCCUAAGUCAGCUCACACCAGGUCAGCCAGUGUGGAUUACAGAUACAAAGUCUCAAGGCACAGUGGUUUCGUUGCACUCAGCUCCACGAUCCUACAUAGUGGACGGGCCUUCAGGCACCAUCAGGCGGAACAGACACCAUCUUGUCCCUUUUCCAGAGACUGUACCACACACACCUCACACUCCAACACCCAGCACACCACCCCAACCAGGUGAGCCUACACUGGGUUCUCCAGAACGCCCUGAGUCACCAACACAGACUCCCAAGGGGCACACACCUGUCCGUACACACACACACACACGGCCCUACCACUAGGUAUGGCAGAGUGGUGGUAAAACCUCACAAACUGGACUUGUGAACUGGGGGGGGGGGGGAGACAAUGAAUGUGAAAAAAAAGAUGAUGUGAAAAGGGAAGAAUGUUGAAUCAUUUUGUGUUUUGAUGUUUAGAUCACUUAUGCUCACAAAGUUAUUGCCUGACUCAGUGGUUGUUUUUGUUAUUUUUCAUGAGAAGCCUUAAGAGUGCAAUGUUCUAUUUUUGAGUAAAUAGCUAUGUGAUUGUGCAGAAAUAAGUGUGAUGACAUGUUCUGAGGUUCUUGCAGAGUUUUCAGUUUAUCACCUGAUUUUGCAUUUUCUGAGUCACAGUAUAUACAUGUGACAGUCUGUUCUGUUUUCUUAAGAAAGGGAGAUGUGGUGUUAGCAUAGACUGUAUAAAGGGUGUUAGCUGUUAUGCUUUUAUUGUGAUAGAGCUAACAGGAUGAUGAGACCGGAUGUGGACACGACUGGUGAUGCUACUACGAAAUGACAUGGAAAGUACAAGCCUGAAUAAAGUAACCACCAUGCUCUAAACCGUCUGUAUUACUUUACGCUUACCACGACAAGUGUCUAAACGUUGUUUUUAACGCGCUCAAGAGGACGCUGCAAUGUCAAUGUGGAAGAACUGCGCAUCCGCAAUGAAAGCGUAGAAGACAUCUGUACCCAAUUUGACCGGUGAUGCCGGUGUCUUGAUUGGCUGAUUUGCACGAGUAUCAGGUGUCAUGUCUGAGACGGAGUCUGUUGAUCACCUUGCUGAUGGGAGCAGCAGCAGCUGCAGGUCACCGAGGAUACACUGCAGAUUGUGAGAGAAGUUGAACCCAAGACUGACCUCUUUGCUUGAA